GUGUGCAGGAAGUAAAGGUUUGUGUGUUUGUUUGAUUUUUUGUUAACUUCUAAGCCUGUUUUCACCUUAAGAGGAAAGUGUGGGUUCUUUUCUCCCCUGCAAACUUGAAUAUAGGAUUUCUUCUUGGCCUUUAUCAACUCAAAAUACUUCCCAAUUCUCAGGCCUCUGAAUUGCAAAAGUGGAUGAUGCCAGCUCCAGGAAGUUGGGGAUUGUCUUCCUCACUCCUGUAUUCCCGGCUCCUAGAACAGUGACUGUCACCCAGCAGCUGUUGAGCUAAUGGCUAUUGAGUGGACAACCACUCGAGCAACAAUGCAGUCAGCUUCGUGGACUUUGUUUUACUGAGGGGCAUCUGGAGAGUUGGGACCAGAGGUGAAUUGCUCAAGAGAAGAGGGAAGCAGUGAGGACACAGCUGUCCUCCUCCAUCUAUCCCCAGGUCAGGCAGCCCCCUCCUCUAAGGCAGAGAAUAUUGUUUGAAAGGCACUUGUCUUCACUUAUUUUGUGCUGCUACAACAGGAUACCACAACCUGAGGAAUUUAUAAUGAACAGAAAUUUAUUGGCUUAUGGUUCUAGAGACUGGGAAGUCCAAGAUCAUGAGCAUCUGGUGAGAUCACUGACAUCUGGUCAGGGCCUUCUUGCUGCAUCAAACAUGAUGGAAGGGCAAAGAGGGGGUGAGAGAGACAAGAGGGUGCCAACCCCUCCCAUGAUAAUGGCAUAAAUCCAUUCAUGAGGGUGGUGCCCCCAUGACCCAAACACCUACCAUUAGGCCCCACCUCCCAACACUACUGCGUUGGGGGUCAAAUUUCCAGCACUUGAACUUUGGGGAACCCAUUCAAACCACAGCAGCACUGUGGCAGACACUGCCAGUUCCCUGCCCAACAGGCAUUCCCCCUUUUCCUUGGCAACAGAUGCUAAAUUUAUUCAGGGUUGCAUGGUGCCAGCUUAAAAAGCUCAGCUCUGGGCUCCCUUGCAUCUGGGAAUGGCCUAUGGCACAUGUAGCCAGUUAGAUACAAACAGAAGCUGUUGGGAUUGGGGUGGUUAGAGGAAAGGUUGUUAAAAAGGAUGGACUUGAUCUGACAUGUCUGCCUCCUUCUUUUUGUCUGAAACUGGAGAUUUGGCCACUUAUCUGUCUUGAAAACCUGAUGAAAGCUACACACAUAGGAGGGCAGAAUGGAAAGACACACAGAACCUGGGUUUCUGAUAGCCCUGUACUAUUGGUCUCCAAAUUUCUUGGUAUGUGAGAAAAGCAAUCUCCUAUUUGGUUAAGCCACUGUAGCCACUGACAGGCAUCUGAACACAGCCCUGAUGGCUGCUUGCACCACCUGACUAGCUGCUGAGAUGCUGAAGUUCUUACAGAGUCCCUGAGUCCCAGGUCAGCCAAAUUAGCACAAAUUACUGAAGACACCAUCUCACAAUGGAUGGAGGCACUCCAGGGAGGCCGAGAACAACUGAAUGAUGCCUGAACCAACACAUGCAAGCACACACACACACACACACACCUAUUAGCUCAGACAACUGUGAGCCGGGAGAAUUUUGGACACAUAAGAGAGAGGGUUCUUGAAGAUGAGCAGGGACUGUAACCAUGAACUUCCUUUCCCAAAAGAAAAACUGUCCAGUCAUUCUGAAAGGAGGUGGAGUUGCACGUUGGGAGGGGAAAUCUAGAAUUCUGACCUGACAUGCUUAGCGUUUGCACUUACGCAGCUGUGCUCCCUGUGAAGGUACAGGAAUCCUGCUCCUCACCAAGAUCCAGGGGCAGCAAGCAGCUCUGCUCUUUCACGCACAGCAUACAUCUCCACCUGUGUUACCACUGUCAGAAGGUGCACUUUCCGUCUGAAUUAACAAAAAGCAUGAACCAUACUGGCUGUUAGGGACUGAAUGUUUAUAUCCCUCAAAAAUCAAAUGUUUAAGCCCUAACCCCCAACGUGACUAUAUUUAAAAACAGAGCCUAUAAGGAGGAGGCGCAGAGGACACACCAUGUGAGGACACAGCAAGAAGGCAGCUGUUUGUAAGCCAGGAACAGAGCCCUCACCAGAAACUGACUUUCUAGCACGUGAUCACAGACUUCCAGCCUCCAGAACUGUGAGAAAAUAAAUGUCUGUUUUUAAUCAGUCUAUGGUAUUUUGUGAUGGCAGCCUGACUAAUGCAAAUCUGUUCUGACCAAAACAGACUUUAUCCCCCUAAUAAAAAAAGCCAAAGAUUAAA